CCCGCCGCCAUCUUGCGUGGGGGUGGGGCAACGCGGGGUCAGCUGCAGGUGCCGAUGUGGUGCCAACGAAGUCUCGCAUACGUUAAGCAGAGCACGUGCCCUGGAGUGCAGCUGCAUGAUGAUACACUCCCUGGAUGUAUGGAGUUAUCACAAAAGGAAUUAUGAGAGAAACAAUGACUUAUAUUGGCACAGUAGAAAAUGCAAGCAGGCAGCUUUACAGUCUGAUGAGAAAAAUGCUUGUUUAUUAAAACAAGUUCAGUGCACAAGGAGAAGUGGAUGGAUAUGGGAAUGUCCUCUCAGCUUCUGUCAAGACAGACUAAACCUUUGAGAUGGCUAUCAGAGAAUUUGGCAAGAAGUUGCUUCAUGAGCAUUAAGGAGUCUUUCACACAAGAUGUCCCUACUUGUGGAAGUUAUUAAGUCUAUGAAACCUUAAAAAGAAGAACCUUAUUGAUUUUUUGCUGAGAGGAAAGUCAUGAUAAAACUGAAGAUUUCCAGGAUUACACUAUCUAACUACAAGGAUGGCUGUAAUAUGGGUUGAAAGAGCAAAGGUUUAAAUGAAAGAAGUCAGAAAAAAAAGUGAAGUCCCCAGCCUUGAGGUUCUGCAUCCCUGAAGUUCCUUCUAAUGUUGGUUUCCAGGCCAUAGAUCAGACAGCAGAAGGAUAAGCACCGUAUAUAAAUAAAAAUGGAGGAAAACAGUGUAAGUUUGUUUAUACUGGAGUGGGAUUACUUGGAGAUCCCGAAGUGACUUGUAUGGCCUGUCUUUUGAUCAUUACAAUGUUUCUUUUCUAAUGGUUGGUAGUUACAUGAGAUACACACUCUCCAUUGGAGGAUGCUUUACUUACCCUUUAACUUAUCCAAACCCCAGUUUUAUUCAGAGUAUUAAAGUCCAAUUAGUAAUACAUCUGUAUUUCCUUAAUAGAACAUCUCCUUUGUCCCCUUCCCUAGUUGAGAUCAGAAAGUUGGCCUAAAAAGAAGUAGUUGAGCCUUAUGCGGGUGUUGUCCGUAUUUCUCCCUUUAUAAUAGAGAUUACUAAAAUCAGCUUUCUGACAAUCUCGUGCUCUCAGCAGUCUGGGACAUUUGCAGACAUUUCCCUUUCAUGUGAUGAGGGUGGUUCAAUACAGUCGGAAACACAUUCUCCCUUCUGUUUACCCAUCCACAGCACUACUGAACAUCCCACAAUUUUUAAACAUAAUGAAUUAAAGAAAACUCCAGAAUAAUUUGAGGACUUAAUCUUUACCUUGAGAAAAAGUAGAAUUUAGUGUCUUGACACAACGUGAAUUUUACAGUAGUUAAGACAGCAGAAUUUAACAUUUUCUCUUUCCAAAUAAGGAAAUUUUUUUUCCCUGUUGUCACUGUUGUUCUUUUAAAUUUCAAACAGCCAGUACACCAGGCCAACCUUGUGUGCCCUGUGUUCUGACUUUGAUGGCUUUUGUAUUUAGAAUUCAUAAGAAGUUCCCUGUUAGAAAAUGCACCAUCCAUGAUAAUGCCAUCAUCCACUAGCCAGGGAGGAGGGAGAAAAUGAAAACCAGAAGAAAACCAAAUCCCAAACUCCCUUGCUUGGUGCAGGCUCCUUCCAGCAAUCCACAAAUCUUACUUGGGCAUCUGGCAGGGACUUGGCAGCUUUGCAGUUGUGGGAAGUGAAAAAUGAUCACAGUUAAACUUAUGCCUAGCAUUCUCUUCUUUUUUACAAAGACAGUAAAAUAGUAAUGUGGUACCCAUUCGCAGGCAUGCGUCUAUGUAUAGCAUUAGAUGGCCUCUCCACAGCACUUACAAACUGCUCAGAACACCAUGCAUGGGCGAAUUGUAGUGCUGGUGAAUUUAGGUUUGAUCUCAACUCCCACUCUCUCAGCUGUUUCUGAAGACUUGGUGCACUGUGUUCUUUUUCCUUCUCUGAAUGGCACUGCGCAUUACUAGUAGUAGCACCAUGAGCUACUACUACCUCAUACUACAUUGAAUAUCCACUUACUUUUUUUCUUACAGUGAAAUAAAUAAGAGGAAUUUUGUUACCUGGUCAGAUUAGCCUCUUCAAUACCUCUAAAUGGUCUUGUAUUGCAGUUGUGCAAAGCUGACUGAACAGACUCUCAAACACGGAUCAGGAAAGUGCUCUUCUCCCCUCCCUCUUUCCCAUCUCAAGAGUUUGCUUGUUGUUUGUGGGGUUUUACCCUUAUCCCAUCCUCUGAGUAAUCUAGGAGGAGCACUGCCAUACAAGCUAAUCAUUCCCUCAUUGCGUGAGCCUCCUCUUUCCAUGUACUCUUUAAAAACUUCUUUCCCUGUUCCAAGUAUGAGGCAAGCUGGAGCUUUUCAAGUGCUAAGCAAAACUGUCUACCUACAGCACAAUUUUUUUUCAGACUGAUUGGAUGGUAUGGCUAUGAAACAACCCUACCCAAGUGCAGACGGUGAUUUCAUACCUGGUGGGAAAGGCAGACACUGGAGAGAAUACAGUGUUCUAGACAUAACUGCUACAGAGAUAUAAACGCAUGAACUUCAUUCCUUAUUUUUAUCAAAAAUCUGUGUGAUGUCAAGACACUUAACAGCUAGCACACCAUGCACUCCAGUAUUUUGUUGUUCAUGUGCAUUCCUUGCUGGCCUUGCUUGCACUGUCAUAGUUAAGGCAUUGGCAUAAAUCUGGAAGCCGCCUGUGUGAAGGCAUGGAAACAUGCAGCUUCUUUAUCUCCUUAUUUCAGAGAUAACAUCCCUCAUCUAAUCCAUUUUAUUCUUUAUCUGAAAACUAACACCACUGCAUCCUAAAUAGAUAAAUAAAAAGGGUCAAGUUCUUUUGCUUCCCAUGCACUCCUUAAAACUUCUUUCAUCUCAAAUUUGAAAGAUUGUUGGCAGUUUUGUACCCAUCUGUAUUUCCUUCUGCCUCCACCUCCUCACCAUCUAUUCCUAAGCAGUAUUUUCUCUUUCACAUGGCACAGCAUGACAACUAAUACAGACUGCUGGAUUGAGGGUCUAUACAGGAUGAAACCCCUGUAAUCUCGCUUUCCUUCUUUUGCCAUUCAGUCCAGCCAUCCUUCUCUCUUCCUCACAGCCAUUUUUCUUAGAUGACAACAUAGAUGUCUGAAGAUGUUGGUCAUUUGCAGAUGUAUUACUUAUAGCAAUGCCAACACAAUGCAGAGGAAAACAAAACUCAUGUGAACUCAUUAUAAAGAAUUUCACCAUAACUCUUCAAAUUACACAGAACUCUUCCUAAAACAGUUAAAAUUCAGCAUUUUAUUUUGUCUUGGUUCUGUAUUUUCUCCUAUCCACUUGCAUAAGGCUUUUGAUUUUGGUAUAUUUGCUAUUUUGCAUUCUUUUUGACGUAUCUACUUCUGCUGCCCAGGCAGUAGCACAUACAGUUGUUUAACCCAGGCCCUGCUAGCAGCUUAUUUACUGAGUUACUGUGCUAACAUGCACAUGACUUUGUGAUUGAAUGGAUGAAAGGGUCACCCUUGAUGGGGCCACUUGUCCUGACUGCCAUUCAGUAGAUGUUUCCUGGAGCUCUUCCAUCUCUAUGUCAUUUUGCAUUAAAGUUACAGAUGACUGGAUCAGAUAUAAUUUGUUUUGUGAAAAAACAUAGGUGGGUUGAGUGUAAAUGUACCUUUCUCUGGUAGCAAGAGUCCUUUUACUCUCUGUUUUAGACAGUCGUGUUUCCUCCUGCAGAACCAAGGGCCCACAGCCUAUUCUGAUGCUUGCUGAUAUAAAUCAUGGCAUUUCAAAUUCCUCUAGAGAUGGGUAGGUUCUCUUCAAGAAUCUGCAUUGUUGUUACUGCAAUAUAUAUUGCAUCAAAUUAACCACAGCUAACCCAACUUUCUAGAAUGCAGCCCUUUUCUUGCUGAGAAGGGAGUGGAACUGCUCAAGAUAAUACGUUUUCGUUUCCUGCUAUUUUGUGCUCCUGCUAGCUUUUACCUACUCGGCAUGUCAAUGUGAAUUUUUAUUAAAGAAACAAAAUCACUUUAUCAUUGGUCUCACUUUUGGAUUUAUCCACUGACUCAACAGUGAAAUGACAGGAGGUUCCCCUUGUCUCAUGAAGCACUUGUAUAGUUACACAACAGAUGGAACAAAACUCAUCAGAGCAGGAUAGGAGCUAUACUGCGCAUUCAUGUAUUGGAACACAUCUGCUACAAGCAAGGUGUUGCCCCUUCCAUCCGAUAGGGAGAGCUAAAGAGCUGCUCUCCACUUGCUAUCAGGCACGUAAAGUCGUCUUCUUCCUUUCUUCUGUGGCUUGGUGAUUUUGCUUGUGCAAAGUUGGCUAUCUCAUAUUUUUGUCUCGGGCAAUGGCCUGGGUCCUUGACAGCCUUGUCUCCUCGGAUUAAUGCAAAUGUUUGUUCUGUUUAAUACAAAUAUUGAAAUCAUCCUAUUCCUCUAUAAUUCUGUACUGAUUAAUUUAAGUGUUCUUACCUUUUAUUAAAGAUGUCAUUGUAAAAUUGUAGGCUUUGAUUUGUUAAUUUUUAUGUUUUUUGUUUCAACAUGAUGGCAGUGUUGUCAUUUUUCCUUCUACUGGUGUGAUGAACUGGUCACCCUUUUGACUUUUUCUCUCUUUACACAAGUGCUUUAGUGUUAGCCCAGAGCCAUUCCUUGCAGGUGACUCUAACGGAUGACUUUUAUUUCUUUGCAAUUUCUUUACAGUGAUCGCAGCACGGCAGUACUGUUUCUCUGCUUUGGUGAAGAGCACAGUAUUUCCAAAAUAACUGAAUAUUUUUAAGCUGGCUUACCUUUGUACAGACAUAUAGAAUAUGGUAAUUAAUUCUGAAUGCUCUUAUGCAGUAAAUUAAACUGAUUACCAAGCGUAGCUUUGAGAUUUUACUGAGGUUAUAUUAGCAAGACAGUACCUGUAAGGUAGGAAGAAAUGUAAUCCAAGUAUGUGGCAGGUAGCUGAGGUAUGGGAAAUAUAUAAUUUGUUGUAUGUUCUACAAGUGACAGAUUACUGUUUCCAGCUAAGCAGCUGUUUUUCUCAUCUGUAUUUAAUAACUAACUUUUUGAAGGAAAAAUGAGAAAUAAAUUCCGUUAGUGCAACCAUAACAAGUCCAGGCCAAUGUUACCAUGACGGCUUGAGACAGGCUAUUACAAUGUAAGCCCACAUACAGGCAUGUUCAUCAGUUUCAGGGUGGAGCAACCCAAACAAAUAUUUUUCCAGCUUGCCAAUGGAUUGCAUACUGUGAGGCAGCACUUUUGGGCUGUAUUUUGUGAACUCCAGCCCGUGUUUCUCCUUCCGAAAAGUCACGUGCUGCUAUUUCCAGAAUGGGAGAAGGCUCCAAAGUAUCACUAGAUUUGAAUGGUCAGUCAAAUGGAAAAAGUCAAAGCCCAGAUUGCUGUCUUUUCUUCAUCAUGGCACAAAACAUUGUCUGAUUAGGCAUGGUAAUGAUUACUGAACUCAGUAAUCAGAUUUGCUUGUGAGUUAUUUAGCUUCAAGUACACUUGUAAGCUUUGAGCAUCAGGUACACUUCCCCUGUUCUUCCAAUUUUCCUCUGGCUCACUGAGUGCUCUUUCUUUGAGAAUAAUAGGGGAUAUUUACUGUACAAGAAAUACUUUGAAAUAAUGCUUUUUUUUUUUUGCAGACUGGCAAACCCCAUUAUUCCAGAUUCUGACUGCCAAGAAAAACAAUUC